CUCAGCUUCCCCGGGAGCAGAGAUUUGCCACUAUUCCUGGACCAUGUCUUUAAGAUGCUGAAGAAGCAGAUCACUUCAAUAGUGCUAUCAAGCUGCCUGGAACAUCUUGAUCUUUUGCUAGGAGAUCCUGCUGAGCAAUCAGUCUUUCUAAAGAAAUGAUCUUCACCUCCUGCUUUUUGAUCAACAUGCUGCAUAAUUUGAUGCCAAGUUACUGAAGUAGAUAUACUGACUCAGUUUAACACAUCAUAGGGAAAAUGGUCUUCUGUAUUUAAUGAAGGUGCUUUCAGAAGCUAAAAGUCUGCAAAUAAAGAUGAAAGCAAUGACAUGUUUUAGAACAGAGGAGAUUUCUUCUUGAAGGCUGGGCAGUGACAGUUCAAUUUCUAUCAACUCUAAAGACAUUGUCAUGAAAAGAAAUCAAAACAAUAAUCACAAUUAAAUUACACAGAAAAUGGAAAGACAAUAGCAAG
rnacentral:lncRNA from 1 species